rnacentral:rRNA from 1 species
UUAGGAAUAUUCGUCAAUGGGGGAAACCCUGAACGAGCAAUGCCGCGUGAGUGAUGACGGCCCUAUGGGUUGUAAAACUCUGUUGUUUGGAAAGAAUUGUAAGGGUAGGAAAUGACCUUUACUUGACGGUACCAUUCAAGAAAGCCACGGCUAACUACGUGCCAGCAGCCGCGGUAAUACGUAGGUGGCGAGCGUUAUCCGGAUUUAUUGGGCGUAAAGGGUGCGCAGGCGGCUUAUUAAGUCUAAGAUGAAAGCCCGAAGCUUAACUUCGGUUUGUUUUAGAAACUGGUAGGCUUGAGUAUGGUAGAGGCAAACGGAAUUCCUAGUGUAGCGGUGGAAUGCGUAGAUAUUAGGAGGAACACCAGUGGCGAAGGCGGUUUGCUGGGCCAUUACUGACGCUCAUGCACGAAAGCGUGGGGAGCAAAUAGG